UACGAAGGGGGCUAGCGUUGUUCGGAAUUACUGGGCGUAAAGGGCGCGCAGGCGGUCUUCCAAGUCAGUGGUGAAAGCCCGGAGCUCAACUCCGGAACUGCCAUUGAAACUGUAAGACUUGAGGAUGAGAGAGGUGAGUGGAAUUCCCAGUGUAGAGGUGAAAUUCGUAGAUAUUGGGAAGAACACCGGUGGCGAAGGCGGCUCACUGGCUCAUAUCUGACGCUCAGGCGCGACAGCGUGGGGAUCAAACAGG
rnacentral:rRNA from 1 species